UACAGGGGGGGCAAGCGUUGUUCGGAAUUACUGGGCGUAAAGGGCUUGUAGGUGGCCAACUAAGUCAGACGUGAAAUCCCUCGGCUUAACCGGGGAACUGCGUCUGAUACUGGAUGGCUGGAGUGUGGGAGAGGGAUGCGGAAUUCCAGGUGUAGCGGUGAAAUGCGUAGAUAUCUGGAGGAACACCGGUGGCGAAGGCGGCAUCCUGGACCACGACUGACACUGAAAAGCGAAAGCCAGGGGAGCAAACGGG
rnacentral:rRNA from 1 species